rnacentral:tRNA from 1 species
AGGGAUAUAGCCAAGUCGGUAAGGCACCAGAUUUUGAUUCUGGCAUUCGUAGGUUCGAGUCCUGCUAUCCCUGCCA